rnacentral:rRNA from 1 species
UGGGAAUCUUCCGCAAUGGACGAAAGUCUGACGGAGCAACGCCGCGUGUAUGAUGAAGGUCUUCGGAUUGUAAAGUACUGUCAUUGGGGAAGAACGGUUUUCUUGAGAAUAUUGAGAAGACAUGACGGUACCCAAGGAGGAAGCCCCGGCUAACUACGUGCCAGCAGCCGCGGUAAUACGUAGGGGGCAAGCGUUGUCCGGAAUUAUUGGGCGUAAAGGGCGCGUAGGCGGGCCUUUAAGUCCGGUGUGAAAGAUCAGGGCUCAACCCUGAGAGUGCAUCGGAAACUGGAGGCCUUGAGGACAGGAGAGGAAAGUGGAAUUCCACGUGUAGCGGUGAAAUGCGUAGAUAUGUGGAGGAACACCAGUGGCGAAGGCGACUUUCUGGACUGUAACUGACGCUGAGGCGCGAAAGCGUGGGGAGCAAAACAGGAUUAGAUACCCUGGUAGUCCACGCCGUAAACGAUGAGUGCUAGGUGUAGAGGGUAUCGACCCCUUCUGUGCCGCAGUUAACACAAUAAGCACUCCCGCCUGGGGAGUACGGCCGCAAGGUUGAAACUCAAAUGAAUUAACGGGGUCAUAGCUUAGGGUUUUU